GAUGAACGCUGGCGGCGUGCUUAACACAUGCAAGUCGAACGGAAAGGCCCAAGCUUGCUUGGGUACUCGAGUGGCGAACGGGUGAGUAACACGUGGGUGAUCUGCCCUGCACUUCGGGAUAAGCCUGGGAAACUGGGUCUAAUACCGGAUAGGACCACAUUUUGGAUGGUGUGGUGGAAAGUUUUUCGGUGUGGGAUGAGCUCGCGGCCUAUCAGCUUGUUGGUGGGGUAAUGGCAUACCAAGGCGUCGACGGGUAGCCGGCCUGAGAGGGUGUACGGCCACAUUGGGACUGAGAUACGGCCCAGACUCCUACGGGAGGCAGCAGUGGGGAAUAUUGCACAAUGGGCGCAAGCCUGAUGCAGCGACGCCGCGUGGGGGAUGACGGCCUUCGGGUCGUAAACGGCUGUCGCUAGGGACGAAGCGCAAGUGACGGUACCUGGAGAAGAAGCACCGGCUAACUACGUG
rnacentral:rRNA from 1 species